UACCAGCUCCCUGAGUGGUAAGGACGAUUAUUUGGCCUAAAGCGUCCGUAGCCGGCUUAUCAAGUCUCUUGUUAAACCCAAUGAUUCAAUCAUUGAUCUGCAAGAGAUACUGUUAUGCUAGAGGACGGGAGAGGUCGACGGUAGUCCAGGGGUAGGGGUGAAAUCCUAUAAUCCUUGGAGGACCACCAGUGGCGAAGGCGGUCGACUAGAACGUGCCUGACGGUGAGGGACGAAAGCUGGGGGAGCGAACCGGAUUAGAUACCCGGGUAGUCCCAGCUGUAAACGAUGCGGGCUAGGUGUUGGGGUAGCUACGAGCUACUCCAGUGCCGCAGAGAAGUUGUUAAGCCCGCCGCCUGGGGAGUACGGCCGCAAGGCUGAAACUUAAGGAAUUGGCGGGGGAGCACCACAAGGGGUGAAGGCUGCGGUUU
rnacentral:rRNA from 1 species